rnacentral:rRNA from 1 species
UACGGGGGGGGCAAGCGUUGUUCGGAAUUACUGGGCGUAAAGGGCGCGUAGGCGGCCUUCUAAGUCAGACGUGAAAUCCCUCGGCUCAACCGAGGAACUGCGUCUGAUACUCGAAGGCUUGAAUCCGGGAGAGGGAUGUGGAAUUCCAGGUGUAGCGGUGAAAUGCGUAGAUAUCUGGAGGAACACCGGUGGCGAAGGCGGCAUCCUGGACCGGUAUUGACGCUGAGGCGCGAAAGCUAGGGGAGCAAACAGG